UGGGGAAUUUUGGACAAUGGGCGCAAGCCUGAUCCAGCCAUGCCGCGUGAGUGAAGAAGGCCUUCGGGUUGUAAAGCUCUUUCGGCCGGGAAGAAAUCGCACGCUCUAACAUAGCGUGUGGAUGACGGUACCGGACUAAGAAGCACCGGCUAACUACGUGCCAGCAGCCGCGGUAAUACGUAGGGUGCGAGCGUUAAUCGGAAUUACUGGGCGUAAAGCGUGCGCAGGCGGUUUUGUAAGACAGAUGUGAAAUCCCCGGGCUUAACCUGGGAACUGCGUUUGUGACUGCAAGGCUAGAGUACGGCAGAGGGGGGUGGAAUUCCUGGUGUAGCAGUGAAAUGCGUAGAUAUCAGGAGGAACACCGAUGGCGAAGGCAGCCCCCUGGGCCUGUACUGACGCUCAUGCACGAAAGCGUGGGGAGCAAACAG
rnacentral:rRNA from 1 species